GGUAGUACCUUUGAAGAUUGUGCUAGGUACGCUUGUGCAAGAAGUUCAUCGACAAUUCAGCUCAUGGGUAUAUCAGGUUACAAUACUUUACAAAGAUAAGGAUCACGUAGAAGUUGAGUUCAGUGUGAGUCUCUUUGUACCUCUUAUCAUUUUAUCACUCAAAAAACCAAGUUACAUUAUUGAUCUAUUCGAGUUAAUGAAUCCAGUUCUGAAUAAUCCCUUGAAUCAAGAUUAGUCUGAUACCAGCAUACGAUGGAAGGGAAGUCAUUACUCGAACGACAACCAGUAUGGCUACAAAAAAGUCGUUUUAUACAGAUUCUAAUAGAAGAGAUUUCCUACAACGGGUAUAUCUCUAGUUCUCUAACGUAGAUUGUAUUAUUCUUUACUUAUCAUAUACUAUUAAAGUUAAUAAUUGUACUCAUGGUUAUGUGCAUUGUGUGAAGAACUGGAUUACUUGAAGGUGAAAGACGACCCAAGGACAUAUAUAGCUUGGUCGUGGUUAUUUUGCUCAAGAUUGAUUUAAAAUGAUUUAUCUAGAUUUGGGAUGUUGAACAUAUUAUCUUUGGACAUUCUGGCUCCUUGAAAAUAUGCUUGGUGGUGACAUACAGUCAUACAUCUAUCAUUUAAACAAGGUCACUUAUUUGGGAACUUCUUACGUUUCCGAAUUCUGACCUUUAUUGUUAUCUGUAUUUCUCGUAUGCAUUUCAUUUUUUUCUGUUGAUGCUUAUUUUUGUUGUUGUGUGGCAGAUAGUGCCAAAAUGAAAAGAAGUGGAAACACGAUCUUUUUGAUGACAAAGACAAACCUCGAGUUUCAAGUAUGGUCUAGUUUUGAUAUUAUUAUAUACAUAUAAAUAACCUUUUCCAUAUUUUUCAUUACUGAUGGAUUUUUUUAUGGAUGUCUUUUUAAUUUCACCGAGUUGCUAUUAAUGACCUGCAUUCAACGGAAGGGUUUGAAGAAAACAUAUCAAAAGUGAAAGGGCUCUCUUGCAGGAGGUGUCCAGGAUCUACGGGUAAAGCUGUCAGGUAUUGCGCAUGAACAACAGGCUAAUACUGAAAAGUUAAAGCCUAAAGAGCUUGCUAAACCUGCUCGAAAAAGUGUUGCACUUGAUGUCCCCAUGGAAGAGGCUGCAUGCUUGAUGUUCUUACAUUUUUUUUUAAUUUACAGACCUUGUGAUGUUGAGAUAUUUAUUUCGGUUUUUCUUGAAGAUUUUAAUAUAUGUAUUAGACCACUGCUCGGUCGAAAUCGCAAGCGUUGCUAUCUCAGUCUUGUUUGUCAAGUUUAGUUGAUCAAAACUAUAUACUUGAUUU